GUAGUACUAUCUUAGUUUAUUAACUAAAAUGGUUUGGCAGUGAGUGAUUCUUUUUAGGGGAAGGUGUGGUGUAAAGGAUGUUCCGCCUAUUAAUUUACUUUUAUUAUGUUGGUGUAUAUCUGGUUUAAUAUUAUUGUUGAAUAAUAUUAGUUUGUGUAAUUUUAUUAGUUAAGCCAAGUCUAUGUGCUGCUUAUAGAAGUAUUCAUGCGUUACUUUAAUAAAGUUUUAGUUGUAAGUACUAUCAUAUUCAGGACUUAAAAGUAAUGUUAAAUUAGUU
rnacentral:rRNA from 1 species